UUUCCGGUUGAUCCUGCCGGAAGUCACUGCUAUCGGGGUUCGAUUAAGCCAUGCGAGUCGAGAGGGUUCGGCCCUCGGCGUACUGCUCAGUAACACGUGGAUAACCUGCCCUAAGGAAGGGGAUAACCCCGGGAAACUGGGGAUAAUACCCUAUAGGUUAUAGAUGCUGGAAUGCUCUGUAACUCAAAGUUCCGGCGCCUUAGGAUGGAUCUGCGGCCGAUUAGGUUGUUGUUGGGGUAAUGGCCCAACAAGCCUGUAAUCGGUACGGGUUGUGGGAGCAAGAGCCCGGAGUUGGAUUCUGAGACACGAAUCCAGGCCCUACGGGGCGCAGCAGGCGCGAAAACUUUACAAUGCGGGCAACCGUGAUAAGGGAACCUCGAGUGCCUGUAUAUGCAGGCUGUCCAGGUGUCUAAAACACACCUGAAGAAAGGGCCGGGCAAGACCGGUGCCAGCCGCCGCGGUAAUACCGGCGGCUCGAGUGGUGGCCACUUUUAUUGGGCUUAAAGCGUUCGUAGCUGGGUUGUUAAGUCUCUUGGGAAAUCUGGCGGCUUAACCGUCAGGCGUCUAAGGGAUACUGGCAAUCUUGGAACCGGGAGAGGUGAGGGGUACUUCGGGGGUAGGAGUGAAAUCCUGUAAUCCUCGAGGGACCACCUGUGGCGAAGGCGCCUCACCAGAACGGCUUCGACAGUGAGGGACGAAAGCUGGGGGAGCAAACCGGAUUAGAUACCCGGGUAGUCCCAGCCGUAAACGAUGUGCGUUAGGUGUAUCGACGACCACGAGUCGUCGAGGUGCCGAAGGGAAACCGUGAAACGUACCGCCUGGGAAGUACGGUCGCAAGGCUGAAACUUAAAGGAAUUGGCGGGGGAGCACCACAACAGGUGGAGCCUGCGGUUUAAUUGGAUUCAACGCCGGA
rnacentral:rRNA from 1 species